UACGUAGGGUGCAAGCGUUAAUCGGAAUACUGGGCGUAAAGCGUGCGCAGGCGGUUAUGUAAGACAGAUGUGAAAUCCCCGGGCUCAACCUGGGAACUGCAUUUGUGACUGCAUAGCUAGAGUACGGUAGAGGGGGGGAUGGAAUUCCGCGUGUAGCAGUGAAAUGCGUAGAUAUGCGGAGGAACACCGAUGGCGAAGGCAAUCCCCUGGACCUGUACUGACGCUCAUGCACGAAAGCGUGGGGAGCAAACAGG
rnacentral:rRNA from 1 species